rnacentral:rRNA from 1 species
UCGAGAAUCUUUCACAAUGGGCGAAAGCCUGAUGGAGCGACGCCGCGUGGAGGUUAAGGUCUUCGGAUUGUAAACUCCUGUCAUGCGAGAACAAAGCCCGCAAGGGUGUGAUAGUACCGCAAGAGGAAGAGACGGCUAACUCUGUGCCAGCAGCCGCGGUAAUACAGAGGUCUCAAGCGUUGUUCGGAAUCACUGGGCGUAAAGGGUGCGCAGGCCGCACGGGAAGUCAAAUGUGUAAUCCAGGGGCUCAACCCCUGAACUGCGCUUGAUACUUCCGUGCUAGAACCUUGGAGAGGAGUCUGGAAUUCUCGGUGUAGCAGUGAAAUGCGUGGAUAUCGAGAAGAACACUUAGGGCGUAGGCAGGACUCUGGACAAGUGUUGACGCUCAUGCACGAAGGCUAGGGUAGCGAACGGG